rnacentral:rRNA from 1 species
AUUGAACGCUGGCGGCAUGCUUUACACAUGCAAGUCGAACGGUAACAGGUUAAGCUGACGAGUGGCGAACGGGUGAGUAAUGCAUCGGAACGUGCCCGAUCGUGGGGGAUAACGCAGCGAAAGCUGCGCUAAUACCGCAUACGAUCUGAGGAUGAAAGCGGGGGACCGUAAGGCCUCGCGCGAUCGGAGCGGCCGAUGUCAGAUUAGGUAGUUGGUGGGGUAAAGGCUCACCAAGCCAACGAUCUGUAGCUGGUCUGAGAGGACGACCAGCCACACUGGGACUGGGACACGGCCCAGAGUCCGACGGGAGGUAGCAGGGGGGAAUUUUGGACAAUGGGCGAAAGCCUGAUCCAGCAAUGCCGCGUGCAGGAAGAAGGCCUUCGGGUUGUAAACUGCUUUUGUACGGAGCGAAAAGGUCCCCUCUAAUACAGGGGGCUCAUGACGGUACCGUAAGAAUAAGCACCGGCUAACUACGUGCCAGCCGCCGCAGUAA